UGAGGGAGACUAGAGACAGGGGGCAGCAGACACGUGGGGCUUGGUGGGAAUCUCCCAGCACCCAGAAACUAGGAAUUGAAAGGAACUGGAUCUCUUCUGAGGUAGACAGACCACAACUGCAGAGCAUCGUCAGACAGGAGAUAAAUACGUCCAUGUACAACACGCAGCAAAAUGAGGUAGAAAUGGUUACAGCUGGAGGAGAGGAACCCAACCCCAGUCUGGAUAGAGGAAGAGGAGGACCAGCCUGCCGAGUCUGUCCUCCCCACCAUCCCUGCCCCUGGAUUCUUUGGGCCCUUUACGGCAGUGCGGCCCACUGCCUCUGAGGCACCAAAGCCCUGUGGCCAGCCAGCUCCAAGCAGAGGGCCAGAAAGACCAAGGAUGAAAAGUGGGGGUUAAAAACAGAGCAGCUUUCCUGUAGCACUCCUAGGCCAGCACAGGCCCUCGGCAUCUUGGCACCUGGUGUUCCCUGUGGACACCAUUCCAGCUGGGAGCAGGAGAUGGUAAUGAGACUGUGAGGGCUGGAAGGGUGAGCAGGGAACAGGGAGGGAGGCAGGGGUGGGAGAGAGAAGAGGUAGGGUGAGGGCUUGCCUCCCUGCUUUGGACCAAAGGUCAGAGUAAUGAAAUGGGCUCCCUGAGGAGGAGAGAAAUAAAAGGAAGCCCCAGCAAGUUUGCUAGGAAGGAAAAGAAUACUGUUCUCACAAGGAAGGGCCCGAAGGCUGGCUUCUGGUGGAGAGUUUGGGUGGGACUGAAAAUAAACCUCCAGCAUCCGGGGGAAAAAAACCCAUCCCCUUCACCAUCUCAAAGCCCUUCGAGCUCCCAACUGGGGACCCUAGGAGAACGGGCCAGGCAUGCUUCCCCACAGAACUUUCUGUAAAGUGGUGCUAACUCCUCAGAGCCUCCCAACACACAGGGAAGCAGCCUGUAGUCAAUUUUGUGCCAACCAGACUUGUGGCCACAUGGUCUUCGCUCCCAAGGAAGUCCGAAGUUAGAGAUCUCUACCUAGGGAAGAGCUAGGUGAGAUGACCACUCUGGGGACUUUCCGCCUCGGACACCUUCUCAUUUGGGUCCUCUCUUUUCUGGAUCUGGGACAGGAAGGGGUCAAGGACAUCCCUCUGGAUAACCCUAAACAGCAAACACUAACCUGGAGAGUGGGGCUCAAGGGGAGAGAAACAGGACCUACCUCCUUUCAAAUCCCACAGUCCACGCCCCCACGCCCCUGCCCACAACCUUGGACCUGGGGAGGAAGCUCUAGAAAUACAUUCCGCUUCUGUCCCAGGAAGAGCAGGGGUUUCAGUGUGGCUCUGGGUCUUCCCCUCCGUUCCCCACAAGUUUCAUUUUCUGAGUCUUCUGGGGAGAAUUUG